ACGUGUGUGUUGACAAAGGGAAGCGCGAUUUUCAUUUGUAUGUGGAUAUACAAUGACAAGAAAAAGUUACUUUAUUAUUUCAUUUAAUGAAUAAUUGCUGUCUUACUUUAAUAUAUAGUACAGAAUAUAGAAUUUAAAUGUUCCAUUAGAUUUAUGGAGAGGUCUCACUCAAGCCCAGCCUGGAGGAUCCAGGCCCCCAGUAGCCCCUGGAAAGAAGGGAAUCCAGUUUUACCUCCAGACAGCUCAGACACCUCGGGAACACCACCUCUACCCCUCACAACUGAGAGGUUCCUGAGAGGUCUUUUGAUGUCUUUUAAGUUUUCGAAUUGAAGCUGUCUUACUUCAGAAUUUUUCUAGUGUCAAUUAUGGAAAAAUGUGAUGAAUUGUGAAAGUAAAUAAUGGAAAAAUUUGUUGCUAGAGGCUGAAUUGAAUUCUGACUAAGAUUCAGAGAUGUCCUUCUGUUGCCUGGAUCCUUCUUCAUGUGACUUAUGUGAUGAAGAUUUGAAUUCUGUUAAAAAUUUUACUGAAACUGAUGUGAAAAAUCCUCCAAUGUUAACAAUAUUUUGGAUGUUUUACAAUUUUAUGAAACAUUCAUUGAUAUAUUUCUUAUGGAUAAAAUUUUUGAAGAGACAAAUAUUUAUGCUAAACAGUGUAUUGAAUCGAAAGUUACAAAACACUUUUCAAGAAGUAAAUUUUAGGAAGAAACAAAUUUGGACAUUCCUCUUAUACACCUUUUACCCCUAAAAAAAUGUUUUCAUU